rnacentral:lncRNA from 1 species
UCUUGGGGUCCCCACCCUCCCUUACACCUGACACAUGCUGGUCGCUGUCUGGCUCUUGGUGUGGGCAAAAAGACAUGCAACUAAAGCUGUCUGUAAGGAAGGAAUGACAACUGGGAAAAGACGCAUGACACCAUCCUUCACAUUAACUUUUGAUUUUGUGUAAAAAGCGGGGGUGGGGUGGAGGAUGAAAGGACUUGCUUGUUUCCUAGUGUUGCUGGGGCAUAAAGGAAAGAGCUCAAUCUUCCCUAAAGAGCCCUUUCGUGAUCCAAAAUCUCAGCACCUGUAAGAAGAACUGGACGGGGGAAGGGAGAAAGUGAAGAACUGUAAACAGUUUUUCUCGUGAGCAAUCCUUAAUGCGGAAGUAAGAAUUCAUAAUUCGGUAUGCAGAUAAGGGACUUGAAAACCGGAAACUGAUAAUCAGAACAGAACAUCCUGCCUCUGAACUGUUUGAAUUGGAGGAAGACUUUUAAGAUCAGUCUGAGUGCUGUGGAUGCAGAGAAAUCCAGUAAUGUAAGCAUUAGUUCCUCCUAGACACAAAGGUUCCAACAGCUGAGGAACUAUGAGAUAAACCAGACAAGCCAUUGCAGACACUUGGUUAUACUGACUGUUGUCCUGGUGAAUGCCGGAUACCAGAAGGCAACAGAGGAAUGACAGCAGGAAGUGUACCGGUCAGGAUUUGAAAGUUGAGUGAAGAAGGGGAGAAAGAGCAGGCAAUGGUGGCAGGCGUUUCUCUGUGAGUUCAAUACCAGCUUGGUUUACACAGCCAGUUCCAGGACAGCCUCCAAAGCUACAGAGAAACCCUGUCUUCUUGAAAAACACCACCACCACCAAACAAAACAAACAAAGAAAAACACCAAAAAACAAAACUGGGGGAGAAAGGCAGUGGAGACUGAGAUUCCUUUCGGGCAGGUCUCAAACCUCAGUGGGAACGCGCAGGAUGCUUAGGACAGUGCAUGGCAAAUCUGAAUGCCGGAAUCCAGCCUCAGGCUGGUGGUCCAAACUUUGUAGAUGAAACCGUGAGAGUGACGGUGGAGUGCUGCCCAGUCCGGGCAACCAUCUGCUG